rnacentral:rRNA from 1 species
UACGUAGGGUGCAAGCGUUGUCCGGAUUUAUUGGGCGUAAAGAGCUCGUAGGCGGUUCGACAAGUCGGGUGUGAAAACUCCGGGCUCAACCCGGAGACGCCACCCGAUACUGUCGUGACUGGAGUCCGGUAGGGGAGUGGGGAAUUCCUGGUGUAGCGGUGGAAUGCGCAGAUAUCAGGAGGAACACCGGUGGCGAAGGCGCCACUCUGGGCCGGUACUGACGCUGAGGAGCGAAAGCGUGGGUAGCAAACAGG